rnacentral:tRNA from 1 species
AUGGGCAGCCGCCGGAGGACGGAUAUUGUUGAUGUCAAUAAAUACAAAGUUUUUAAUAGCUUUGCUGCUUUUG